GACGUAGGGCGCGAGCGUUGUCCGGAUUUAUUGGGCGUAAAGCGCACGUAGGCGGAUUGCUAAGUCAGGGGUGAAAUCCUGGAGCUCAACUCCAGAACUGCCUUUGAUACUGGCGAUCUCGAGUCCGGGAGAGGUGAGUGGAACUGCGAGUGUAGAGGUGAAAUUCGUAGAUAUUCGCAAGAACACCAGUGGCGAAGGCGACUCGCUGGACAAGUAUUGACGCUGAGGUGCGAAAGCGUGGGGAGCAAACAGG
rnacentral:rRNA from 1 species